CCAUCUGUAAAUUAUUUAUUUUUUCUUAACUUUGAAUAUGUCCAUCAUAUAUAAAAAAGUGUAAUAUGUGAAUGUUUUAUUUAUAUUUUAUUUGUAAAAACAUAUCCGUGCCAAAAAUAAAAUAUUUCCUCUCUUUUUAUCUUUACAAAUACGUUAAUCUCUCACAGUUUGUUUCUUCAACCUCCUUUAUGUUGUCGGUUUGAAAGGCUCAUCCCACUUCAUCUUUGUUUUCUUCUGGUGCUAUAUAUUGCAUGAGAGAGUUUGAGGGAUGUUUUGACGCUUUCAAUGAAAGGUUUAAUACAUUGAGAGGCAAGGUUGGAAAGAAUGCAUUUGUUAGAUGGAUGGAGAGGCGAGCGGUCUUACUACCUAGCGUGUGACCCCGGUUACUUGGCGAACAAAUCCUUAUCACGUGAGCCAUCUCACAUUUGGCGAACUAUUAAUCAUGACUCAAUCACCCUAUUCCAUAUAUGAGUGGUCUCACACUAUUUAUAUAUUUCUUACGUCAUGUUUGCGAUUCAUGUAUUAUUUAUCUCAUAAUAGCGAUAUAUGUUUUUACAGGCUUAGGUGAUCCACCCACUUUUAUGGGCGGAUUAUGUUUGUAUGAGCAAUUCUAAAUCCAUGUAUCUAGGGUUAGACACCU